UAAUUAACUCCUAGCUUCGCCCCUGGAUCGGUAAGAGAUUCAUCAAAGAUAAAGACAUGUUUUUACCUUUGUUAUCUCUUUGCUUUGAGUCCUUGAGAUUCGAAAUUGUUGAGAUCAACAUGUUCACGAGGAGCCUUUCCAUCUGCUGUGCUCUAGUACUUACUUGAUAUGUCAAACACCUUUUGUUAAAACUCCCGACGUAGAUACUCGGAUCAAUCUGUCCAAAAGGACAUGGCCACCAUUUAAACAUCAACGAUGUUUAGAUUCCCUCUUAUUUAAUAAUCACAAGUAUUACAUAUACUUUCUGUUCCACUUUUACUUUCGUCCCUUCUCCAAUUAUCUCCUGAAGGGACUCAGUUCCUUCUCCUCGGCAGGGGAAUCGACUAAUCGUUUCAAAACAUUUCUUAAAUAAAUAUAAAAGAAAAUUACUAGAAUGUUAUAGAAAAGUUGGUUUAUUACUAAAGUGUUAUGCAUCUUUUUAAAAUUAGUACAAUGUUUAGAUAUCCCUAGUAAUUAUUUUUGGUUAGUUUAUGUUUAGACAAUAAAGAUAUUUGGUUAGUUUUUUUUUUAACUAAAAUUAUUUUUAAACAUUAAAUCCACGUCAAUAAUAACAAUCCACAUCAACAAAUCUAUCGUUUGAUUAUCUUAUAACUUCUUAACCUAACACACAAAUCUCAUUUGACCAAAAAAAAACACACGCAAAUCUCUCUCUCUCUGUGACGCCUCUUCUCGUCCAAUCCAUCACGUUUGACCUCCUCACCACCACCACCAUCUCUCCUUCCGCUCGUCACCACCACCACCACCGCUCAUUCACUCGUCACCACCACCAUCGCCAUCUUUCCCAUCCGUCAUCGUUCGUCACCACCACCAUCGCUUCUCAGAUUCGUCACCACCACCAUCCGCCAUCUCUCUCUCUCUCUCUCUCAACGAUCUGAUUCUCUUCUUCUUUUCCACUCUUGUAGUGCUCUCUCCUUCUCUCUUUCUCUCCUUUGAAUCUGAUUUUGAUUUGUUUUUUUGGUAAAGGAAGUUGGAGGAAGCAAAAGAGGCCUGACGAGACGAGGUGACUGGAGGUCGCUCUUUUCUUCCAUCACCGAAGUGCCACAGACCAAGGUUGAGGCGGAGAGAACAGAUCCGGAGGCGAAGAGGAGGUCGGAGAGAAGACAGAGCCAGAGGCUGGAGAAGACAGAACAUGUGGCGGCUGGAGUCUUUUUUUUUCUUUUAGGUUUAGUUUUUUUUUUAAUUUAGUUUAGUGUAAACCAAGAUAGGGAAAUUGUAGUGGUUUGAUUUUACUUUUAAUUUCUGCUUUAGUUUUUUUUUUUUAAUUUGGUUUAGCGUAAACUGAGAUAGGGAAAUUGUAGUGGAUUGAUUUUACUUUGUUUACAGAUUUAUUAAGGAGCAGGGAAGAAGAAGCAGUGGGGUGACAUAGCCAGCGUCUCCGGUCGAGCAUGGUGGUACAAGCCGGUGGUGGUCGUGCGUUGGAGAUGCGAGCAGCAUGGUCGCGGUGUGGUGAGUGCGGCGGCGACUGAAGAAGUAAAUUAGGUUUAGUUAGGGUUAAUUAGGUUUAGCUUGAUCUUGAAAUAUAUGUUCUCUUACAAUCACUUAUACAAUUCUUACUUACAAGACUCUAACUUCACUCUUGUUGAUAAGAAUUGUAUAGUUUCUUGAAGUUGACGGCUGAGUUAUGUAAAGUAUGCAUAAUUCAACCGUAACGUUUCUAUAAGUCAAUCCUAUAAGUCAGCCGUCAACGGUAAUUUUUUCGCA